CCUACGGGGAGCAGCAGUGAGGAAUAUUGGUCAAUGGACGGAAGUCUGAACCAGCCAUGCCGCGUGCAGGAAGACGGCUCUCUGAGUUGUAAACUGCUUUUGUACAAGGGUAAACCUGAAUACGUGUAUUCAGCUGAAAGUACUGUACGAAUAAGGAUCGGCUAACUCCGUGCCAGCAGACGCGUUAAUACGGAGGAUCCACACGUUAUCCGGAUUGAUUGGGUUUAAAGGGUGCGUAGGCGGAUUGAUAAGUUAGAGGUGAAAUGUCCGAGCUUAACUCGGGAACUGCCUCUAAUACUGUUGAUCUAGAGAGUAGAUGCGGUAGGCGGAAUGUAUGGUGUAGCGGUGAAAUGCUUAGAGAUCAUACAGAACACCGAUUGCGAAGGCAGCUUACCAAUCUAUAUCUGACGUUGAGGCACGAAAGCGUGGGGAGCAAACAGGAUUAGAUACCCGUGUAGUC
rnacentral:rRNA from 1 species